rnacentral:rRNA from 1 species
GAGUUUGAUCCUGGCUCAGAUUGAACGCUGGCGGCAUGCUUUACACAUGCAAGUCGAACGGUAACAGGCCGCAAGGUGCUGACGAGUGGCGAACGGGUGAGUAAUGCAUCGGAACGUGCCCAAUCGUGGGGGAUAACGCAGCGAAAGCUGUGCUAAUACCGCAUACGAUCUACGGAUGAAAGCGGGGGACUCGCAAGAGCCUCGCGCGAUUGGAGCGGCCGAUGUCAGAUUAGGUAGUUGGUGGGGUAAAGGCUCACCAAGCCAACGAUCUGUAGCUGGUCUGAGAGGACGACCAGCCACACUGGAACUGUGACACGGUCCAGACUCCUACGGGAGGCAGCAGUGGGGAAUUUUGGACAAUGGGCGCAAGCCUGAUCCAGCAAUGCCGCGUGCAGGAAGAAGGCCUUCGGGUUGUAAACUGCUUUUGUACGGAACGAAAAGGUCUGGGUUAAUACCCUGGGCUGAUGACGGUACCGUAAGAAUAAGCACCGGCUAACUACGUGCCAGCAGCCGCGGUAAUACGUAGGGUGCAAGCGUUAAUCGGAAUUACUGGGCGUAAAGCGUGCGCAGGCGGUUUUGUAAGACAGUCGUGAAAUCCCCGG